AGAGUUUGAUCAUGGCUCAGAACGAACGCUGGCGGCGUGCUUAACACAUGCAAGUCGAACGCGAAAGGGACUUCGGUCCUGAGUAAAGUGGCGCACGGGUGAGUAACGCGUGGAUAAUCUACCCAAUGAUCUGGGAUAACAUCUCGAAAGGGGUGCUAAUACCGGAUAAGACCACGGAGUCCUUGGAUUCUGCGGUAAAAGGUGGGGACCUUCGGGCCUACCGUCAUCGGAUGAGUCCGCGUACCAUUAGCUAGUUGGUGGGGUAAUGGCCUACCAAGGCUACGAUGGUUAGCUGGUCUGAGAGGAUGAUCAGCCACACUGGAACUGAGACACGGUCCAGACUCCUACGGGAGGCAGCAGUGGGGAAUUUUGCGCAAUGGGGGAAACCCUGACGCAGCAACGCCGCGUGAGUGAUGAAGGCUUUCGGGUCGUAAAGCUCUGUCAGAGGGGAAGAAAUGCAUAGGUGCCAAUACCACUUAUGCUUGACGGUACCCUCAAAGGAAGCACCGGCUAACUCCGUGCCAGCAGCCGCGGUAAUACGGAGGGUGCGAGCGUUGUUCGGAAUUAUUGGGCGUAAAGCGCGUGUAGGCGGUCUUUUAAGUCUGAUGUGAAAGCCCCGGGCUCAACCCGGGAAGUGCAUUGGAAACUGGGAGACUUGAAUACGGGAGAGGGUAGUGGAAUUCCUAGUGUAGGAGUGAAAUCCGUAGAUAUUAGGAGGAACACCGGUGGCGAAGGCGGCUACCUGGACCGAUAUUGACGCUGAGACGCGAAAGCGUGGGGAGCAAACAGGAUUAGAUACCCUAGUAGUCC
rnacentral:rRNA from 1 species